UUUUAGCCCCGAUAGAACUGAUAUCCUUUUGUGGCGGGGUUCGCCAUAAAAGAUAUAAGGGAUAGCGGGACUGAAC
rnacentral:sRNA from 2 species